CAGAAAGACCCUAUGAAGCUUUACUGUAACCUGAAAUUGAAAUUGGACUUUAUUCGCGCAGUAUAGGUGGGAAGCGUUGAAAAUAUUCUUGCGGGAAUAUUGGAGCUAUCAGUGAGAUACCACUCUUGUAAUGUUAGAUUUCUAACUUUGAACCAUUAUCUGGUCAGAGAACAGUUUCAGGCGGGCAGUUUGACUGGGGCGGUCGCCUCCCAAACGGUAACGGAGGCGUACAAAGGUUUCCUCUGAACGUGUAGAAAUCGUAUCUAGAGUGUAAAGGCAUAAGGAAGCUUGACUGUGAGACCUACAAGUCGAGCAGGGACGAAAGUCGGUCUUAGUGAUCUGACGGUACUGAGUGGAAAGGCCGUCACUCAACGGAUAAAAGUUACUCUAGGGAUAACAGGCUGA
rnacentral:rRNA from 1 species